CUUCGUUGCAUUUUUGUUCCUCUCACGGGACAUCAUACCAGAGUUGAAACCGAACUGAAGGGGGACGCCAUGGAGCAAGUCGAGUUCGUGGAGCAAGUCAUGGACGAUGCCAACGAAGGUAUACUCUCUCCCUCUCCUUACCGUGCUACUGCUCGUUGUGUCCAUGGCCAUUGAGCUGUGCUAGGUUCUGUGCUGCUGUCGACGCACAUUUAUAAGAUUUGGGGCUGUAGGUUUCAGUGGAUUUAUUUAGAAAUAAAUAGAUCUGUUGGUUCACAGAAAACAGUUUUACUGUAGAUGUAAAGAAUUAGCAAUGGAUCUCUAGGCUGGUGAUGACCAUGUAAAUUCAUUUCAGUGGAUUUGGGGCUGUAGGUUUGUUUCAAAGCGUGGUGAGCACUUAUAGGUUUCCCUAUUUCCUGUUGGAUGACUGAAACCAACUAGAAAUAGAUAUUUUGGUUCAGUUUCAGAUGAGAAACCGUUUUGGUCCAGUUUGCUAACAAACUGGAGAAGAAAAGAGAAGUGGUACUGUCAAUCACAUUGCCCUAUGCACAUCAGCACUUAGGCUAAUGUCCAUAUAAUUUUAUUUAGCCAUGUUUUCUGCAGGUUGUGUCGUAUAUUGUGGCGUCUGGAUUAGUCAUCAAGGGCAACUAACACUCAUGCUGGUAUCCUCUCAUAAUCACAUACGAAUUUGUGUUCAAAUUGUAGUGCUAUCUUGUUUAUUUGUUUCUUCUUAUUUGCUAUUAGACUGUUGUCCAGACCAAAAAAAUGUGCUGAUGAGCAGUAAGUGUGCGCAAAGCGGUUCUUACUUCUUAAUGCACUGUGUGUUAAUGGUUCAUUUUGUUAUUUUCUUUGUAGGUUCAAAAGAUACAUGGAUGAUUAUAUGGGUGCAUGACAAGUACACUGCAAUGUGAUGAUGAUGAUGAUCUUCCAGUUCAUGAUUAUGAUGAUGGAUGCUUUCAGUUUUAGUUAAGUUGUAGGGAUGUUGUUCCUAUUCGAUGAUGUUCCUCUGUUAUGUUUUAGUUAAGUAUGAGGGAUGUUGAUGAAUGCUUUUAGUUAAGUUUCUUUCUCGAGAAAAUAUUUAAAUAUGCAUCACAUUUGGAUGCUCUUCCUCCUGUAAUAUCCACUACUGUAAUCCAACAAUUUUAUCCAAUAUAUGAUUUCUUCCUCUUGUGAGUA